rnacentral:rRNA from 1 species
AACGAACGCUGGCGGCAGGCUUAACACAUGCAAGUCGAGCGCAUCCUUCGGGGUGAGCGGCGGACGGGUGCGUAACGCGUGGGAACGUGCCCUCUUCUACGGAAUAGCCUCGGGAAACUGAGAGUAAUGCCGUAUACGCCCGCAAGGGGAAAGAUUUAUCGGAGGAGGAUCGGCCCGCGUUGGAUUAGGUAGUUGGUGGGGUAACGGCCUACCAAGCCGACGAUCCAUAGCUGGUUUGAGAGGAUGAUCAGCCACACUGGGACUGAGACACGGCCCAGACUCCUACGGGAGGCAGCAGUGGGGAAUCUUGGACAAUGGGGGCAACCCUGAUCCAGCCAUGCCGCGUGAUCGAUGAAGGCCUUAGGGUUGUAAAGAUCUUUCAGCUGGGAAGAUAAUGACGGUACCAGCAGAAGAAGCCCCGGCUAACUCCGUG